AUUGAACGCUGGCGGCAGGCCUAACACAUGCAAGUCGAGCGAGCGGCGGACGGGUGAGUAAUGUCCGGGAAACUGCCUGAUGGCGGGGGAUAACUACUGGAAACGGUAGCUAAUACCGCAUACCAUCGGAUGUGCCCAGAUGGGAUUAGCUAGUAGGUGGGGUAACGGCUCACCUAGGCGACGAUCCCUAGCUGGUCGGAGAGGAUGACCAGCCACACUGGAAAUGAGACAAGGUCCAGACUCCGACGGGAGGCAGCAGGGGGGAAUAUUGGACAAUGGGCGCAAGCCUGAUGCAGCCAUGCCGCGUGUAUGAAGAAGGCCUUCGGGUUGUAAAGUACUUUCAGCGGGGAGGCGUUACCCGCAGAAGAAGCACCGGCUAACUCCGUGCCAGCAGCCGCGGUAAUAC
rnacentral:rRNA from 1 species